rnacentral:lncRNA from 1 species
GCCACAGGGUCUUCUAAGCCCUGGUGAAUGCUGUAAAGCAAAUACAUCUCAUUUAUCUCUUUGCAUAUUCCACAAAUUUUACCAUAUAACCUAUAUGUAGGAACUCUCAAUCCAUACUUUAGUCUGUGUAUAGAGACAGAAUAUUGACCGAGAAUAGAAAAAUAAGGCUUGUUAGAUUACCUUUGUCAAGCUUAUGCUACAGCCUAAUGGGGUUCAGGACACACUAUCCCAAAAUGUAGCUAGACAAUGAGUUCUCUGAGAGCAGGAUCCACCUAUUUGGAUGUAAUAGUUUUUUUUCUAUAAAUGUUGAAUGAGUGGAUCGAUUUAUCAAAAUAGAGUUUAUGAACAUAAAAAAUUGCCUUAUGCAACCAAGUUUGAUAAUAACAACAUGACCUUGAUAUUAAACUGAAAAAAGGCAUCUUCCAGUCUCUACUAUUACCACCUCUCCCCAACUAUUAUAGCCAUUCAAAUCUCUAACCAGGCUGAAUAUUAAAUAAAAUGGUUCACCAUCUGAUGUUAAGGUAUAAAGAUAAGAUUUUUUUUUCUGAAUUAAAAAAAAUAGUCCAAAGAAGAAGGAAGAAGAAAGGGGAUAUAAUGAGAAUGAGGAGCGUCAGAUAAUUAGGCAGCAGUCCAACAAUUAGGUUUUGUGGAACUUUUACUAUGUCAUCUAUUUAUUGGAAUUCCCUCUGGAUACCAGGACCCCCUCCAGCAGAGCUUAAAGUUAUAGUUACAGGAAGUACAAAUUCCGUAUGUGGAUCCCUGGAAGUGUGAUGAGAAGAACCACUGUUUCCAAGAUCUAUUUAUUCUAUUUAUCAGGCCUAUAAAAUCAUGUAAUGGCCAUGGCUUCAACUAG